CACACUGCUGAGCCGCUCUCGGUGCCGUUUCCCGUUUCCGUUCCCGUCCCCAUUCCCGUUCCCAUUCCCAUUCCCGUUCCCGUCCCCCCCCCGCCAUGUCCAACGCUGUUCCCGUCGCUGCUCCCCCGCAUCACGGAGCCUCUGUGUUCAACCUGGACCGUCCGUGCGUGGACGAGACGGAGCUGCAGCAGCAGGAGCAGCAGCAUCAGGCCUGGCUCCAGAGCAUCGCCGAGAAGGACAACACUUUGGUACCCAUAGGGAAACCGGCCAUCCGAGCACUAUGAUGAGGAGGAGGAGGAGGAUGAUGAGGAUGAUGAGGACAGUGAGGAGGACUCAGAGGACGAUGAGGACAUGCAGGACAUGGACGAGAUGAACGACUACAAUGAGUCCCCUGACGAUGGGGAGAUCAACGAGGUGGACAUGGAGGGUGCGGAGCAGGACCAGGACCCAGUGGAUGAUCUGAGUGUGCCGAGGGCCGUUCCCAACCGGAGCUGCACUGGGGGGGUCUGUGUGCUCCCCAUAGCACUGGGGGGGCUCUGUGGGGCACGGACAGACCCAGAGCCUGGGUGGGAACUGCCAUUCCCAUUCCCAAAUAAACUCUCUUUUUAAGUAA